GUAGAUGUAAUUCAGUGGUAGAGCCCGUGCUUGGCAUGCACAAAGCCCUGGGUUCAAGCCCCAGCCAUCUCUU
rnacentral:tRNA from 1 species